GAAGAACCAACAGGGAUUGCCCUAGUAACGGGAGUGAAGCGGCAACAGCUCAAAUUUGAAAUCUGGCGCAAGCCCGAGUUGUAAUUUGUAGAGGAUGCUUCUGGGUAGCGACCGAUCUAAGUUCCUUGGAACAGGACGUCAUAGAGGGUGAGAAUCCCGUAUGUGACCGGCCCGCACCCUUUACGUAGCUCCUUCGACGAGUCGAGUUGUUUGGGAAUGCAGCUCUAAAUGGGAGGUAAAUUUCUUCUAAAGCUAAAUACCGGCCAGAGACCGAUAGCGCACAAGUAGAGUGAUCGAAAGAUGAAAAGUACUUUGGAAAGAGAGUUAAAAAGCACGUGAAAUUGUUGAAAGGGAAGCGCCUGCAACCAGACUUCGCGGCAGUGUUCCGCCGGUCUUCUGACCGGUUCAUUCUCUGUCGCGAGGCCAUCAUCGCCUGGGCCCGCCGGAUAAGACCUUAGGAAUGUAGCUCACCUUCGGGGGAGUGUUAUAGCCUAGGGUGAUGCGGCGAGGCUCGGGCGAGGUCCGCGCUUCGGCAAGGAUGAUGGCGUAAUGGUUGUCGGCGGCCCGUCUUGAAACACGGACCAAGGAGUCUAACAUCUAUGCGAGUGUUCGGGUGUCAAACCCCUACGCGUAAUGAAAGUGAACGGAGGUGGGAACCGAAGGUGCACCAUCGACCGAUCCU
rnacentral:rRNA from 1 species